UACGUAGGGUGCAAGCGUUAAUCGGAAUUACUGGGCGUAAAGCGUGCGCAGGCGGCUUUGCAAGACAGAUGUGAAAUCCCUGGGCUUAACCUAGGAACUGCAUUUGUGACUGCAUUGCUAGAGUGUGGUAGAGGGAGAUGGAAUUCCGCAUGUAGCAGUGAAAUGCGUAGAUAUGCGGAGGAACACCAAUGGCGAAGGCAAUCUCCUGGACCUGCACUGACGCUCAUGCACGAAAGCGUGGGGAGCAAACAGG
rnacentral:rRNA from 1 species